rnacentral:rRNA from 1 species
UACGUAGGGAGCAAGCGUUGUCCGGAAUCAUUGGGCGUAAAGCGCGCGUAGGCGGCCCUGUAAGUCCGUUGUGAAAGUCAAAGGCUCAACCUUUGAAAGCCGAUGGAUACUGCAGGGCUAGAGUCCGGAAGAGGCGAGUGGAAUUCCUGGUGUAGCGGUGGAAUGCGCAGAUAUCAGGAGGAACACCGACGGCGAAGGCAGCACUCUGGGCCGGUACUGACGCUGAGGAGCGAAAGCAUGGGGAGCGAACAGG